GGGGGCGCGGUAAAACUCCUUACAUGGGCUCAUGACGAUUCUGGAGGAGGAAAUGCCUCUUUUCCCUAGGCCAGACAACAAGAUAAAUCCAACAAACUAUCCCAAAUAUAAUUAUGUUAUUUAUGUUUAAUCCUACUAGUUUAGCCAAAUAACUAUUAAGGAUUAAAUUGAGUGUUUGCCGCAGUGGCGACCAGUCACGAGAAGCAGGAUCAAACCGGUUAGAGACAAUUUGUCAGAAUUUAGCUGGCGCACUAUCAGGUUUGCCAGGACUCGCUGGUACGCAUAUUUGGAUUUGUGAUUAAGUUUGUGUAAGCAUUCAGUAGAAUAAGUUCUCAAUUUCUAGAGCUCGGAUCUAGAGUUAAAAAUGAAACAUAUGGAUAGUAUCCGUCUCUGACGGACUUUGAAGAAAGUUGAAGAAUUUUUCAUGAGUCGUUAUUCACCGUCUCAUGAAAAAUUCUGCCGUUGUGGCAAUGUUGUGUUACGUUUAGAUUUAUUGUGCCGUAAAAUAAAAGCUUCAGCUCAGAUUUAACACGUUAAAACGCAAACUUAAAAAAAAAAAAGAAACAGAAGAGAAAGGUUGCUCCGCGCAUCGCGUAGCGAAAACCCCUGCCAAACCUCCCUUCGCACGAGAAACUAAAGCUGCUGCACACGACAACCAUGCUAUUCAGACCAAUAUCGUCGUCUCUUCUUCGAACGACGACUACGCAGACAAGCUUCGGGAGCAGCGAGCCAAGCCGUUGAGAGAAGCAAGGCUUGUCGUCCACAAUCGGCAGCACUCACGCCGUUUUCCGUAACCGCAGAGCCGUCGGAGUGGAGAGACAAGUCGUGGUACUGAGAAAGAUCAGUUCGGGCUAGUGCGUGAAAUCGGUCGGUCGCACGCAGCACGUUAUUCCGUGGUCGCCGAAUCGAGAGGAUUCCCUGAACAUUGGUGAUUAGAAUUUGGAAGAAUCCGCCGGUGUGGACGUUUAAUUAGUACACGUAUCCAAAAAUAAGAAAACCUCCUCUCUAUCGGGGAGCACCUUGCUGCGAGAUACAUCGCGCGGUUGGCCGGAUUGGAUUCCAUUGCGAGGCAAUCACGUGGAUAACAGGUGAGCUCAAAUUUUCUGGCGGCUAUAGAAAUCGACUGAGCGGGCUAUCAUCAAAGCUAACUUCGGCCAUUUUGUUAACCAUAUAGUUGGAGAGCAAGCCCGAUUGACGCACGUUGGGAUAGCUGUCCACGUUCACCCAGAACAACCAGGGUGCAACAAUAGCGACUUGGUCGCUGACCACACUCUGUGCGGGAAGGAGAGAUACUUCACCAGGAGGAUAAGCGAAAUCACACGUCGUAGAUUAGGGAGCCACGAGGCAAGUCAGGACGAUACAGCGGAAGAACGAAAGCCCCUCAAAAGGGGCUUUUUUUUCCCCUUAUAUUGUCUCGUUUCUGCUUAGAGCAAAGGCGUCUAGAAGGACGAGUGAGAUUCGCACUGAGGACAUACGAGUGGCCGAUCGACCGCAAGGAAAGCGUGGCGCUGAAGGUUUGGUGCAUGGACAACUGGGUGACGGUCCCGAUGGCCGCAAGAAUGGGAGCGUUCGUGCGAAGCCGCAAUGUAGCGCAUGUUCAUGCCUAAGGACGUCGCUCAACCUAAAGGAAGCAGCGGGUAGUGACGCAGCGUGGCGGCAACCGUGAGUUAAGGCAAUAUCCAUGUUAGAUAUAAGAGCUUGGUAGCUUGCACUACCCUAGGAGAGAUAGGGCCUGAGCAUAGGCAGAUUUUGCCCCAAAGAGGGAAAUACAAGAUGUUAAACUGAG
rnacentral:lncRNA from 1 species